CAUGCUUAACACAUGCAAGUCGAACGGUAACAGGUGUAGCAAUACAUGCUGACGAGUGGCGGACGGGUGAGGAAUGCUUGGGAAUCUGCCUGUUAGUGGGGGACAACCCGGGGAAACUCGGGCUAAUACCGCAUACGCUCUACGGAGGAAAGCGGGGGACCGUAAGGCCUCGCGCUAACAGAUGAGCCCAAGUCGGAUUAGCUAGUUGGUGGGGUAAAAGCCUACCAAGGCGACGAUCCGUAGCUGGUCUGAGAGGACGAUCAGCCACACUGGGACUGAGACACGGCCCAGACUCCUACGGGAGGCAGCAGUGGGGAAUAUUGGACAAUGGGGGCAACCCUGAUCCAGCAAUGCCGCGUGUGUGAAGAAGGCCUGCGGGUUGUAAAGCACUUUUGGCAGGGAUGAAAAGCACUGGAUUAAUAACCCAGUGUGUUGACCUAACCUGCAGAAGAAGCACCGGCUAACUCUGUGCCAGCAGCCGCGGUAAUACAGAGGGUGCAAGCGUUAAUCGGAAUUACUGGGCGUAAAGCGCGCGUAGGCGGUCGAGUAAGUCGGAUGUGAAAUCCCCGGGCUUAACCUGGGAAUUGCAUUCGAUACUGCUUGGCUAGAGUGUGGAAGAGGGAAGCGGAAUUUCCGGUGUAGCGGUGAAAUGCGUAGAUAUCGGAAGGAACACCAGUGGCGAAGGCGGCUUCCUGGUCCAACACUGACGCUGAGGCGCGAAAGCGUGGGGAGCGAACAG
rnacentral:rRNA from 1 species